AAUACUUCUUUUAGCCAGUCAGUGAGCCAUUUUGUUUUUCAGACACACUUCCCUUCACAAUAUGAUGUCUGAAUUGUUAUCUGUUUAGGGUUCAUCUAUCAAACCUUUUUGAAAAUAGCAGACAGUUUUCACACCUGACUUCAGUUGAAAAAUAAAUGUCUUUCCGCACAGAGACGGGUCUGUAUUAUUCAAAUUUCAAGGACUUCAUCACUGCACCAUCCUUUUUGCAUGGGCUCCACCUGAUCAUGAACAACAGGUUCUCUAAAUACCCUCAUGUGAUCAAUGCUCUGAAGUGGUUCAACCUAUAUCCAGAGAGCCCUUUGUCGGUAGGUUUUCCUUUACAGUCUAUUCCGGAUUUACACUGGCACCAUGGACUUUUUUGGGAUACCAAUCAAGGCCUGUUGGAAUAAACGUGUGAUGUCUUAGGGGAUGCAGCCUCAUUUUUGAAUCGGGCGCUGAUGAGCCUUUUCUUCCUAUAUGGCACUUACCUCAGUGGCAAUUGUCUUGGUGGUGUUGCCACUGUCCUGUGUCUCUUCUUCAACUACGAAGAGAGCACUCGUGUCAUGUGGACUCCACCGCUGAGAGAGAGCUUCUCCUAUUCCUUCUUUGUUCUGCAGAUGCUGCUGUUAUCCCGCAUUCUCAGGUUGCAUGCCUGUUUACCUGUUACUUGACUGUCUACUAGUGCCAGGAUGAAGACAAUACUGUCUGUGCACCUUGUCUCCCUUGCUCUCUGCUUUGUCAUGCAGUUUGGGAAUUUGACACUUGUCAUGUCUUUUUACACUUUUCCCUGGUUGCUGCCUGGGUGAGAAAACUUGGAAUACACUAUGCCGGUCUGUCAAAAAUCUUAUUUCUCAAGUGAUGUUUUCCAGGCCAUCAUUGCACUGAGAGACAAUAUAGCACAUAUCUGCUCAUCUGGAAUCAUCACAAUUAUAUGAAAUCCUAUUUCAAGAAUUGUUUUGAAAAAGGUUCUUAACUCCAAGCCUGGGGACUGGGAGUAGUGCUACUUUUCUAUUCUGGUGUCCCAGGUCUAAUUCAGUUCCUAAUAAGGGAGCUCGAGUGAAAACCUACAGUACUUUAGGUUCAUAGAGUGUGGAGUUGAUGAGCAAUUAUUUAGAGACAGUGUUACACUAGUUUUUGAGUGCCACCUUGUCCUUCUGAAUCCUCAUGCUUGUUCAGGGUGUUGCCAGGUUUACCACCACAUUGCUUCUCAAGUUCUCCAUGACGUUCAUCCUCGGAGUGACCGAUGAUGUAAAGUUUUUUGGUUAAAGUGGAUUCGUUCUCAGUGCCACGUACAAAAUAAAAUGUUUUUCUU